rnacentral:tRNA from 1 species
GGAGACGUGUCCGAGUGGUUGAAGGAGCACGCUUGGAAAGCGUGUGUGCGUUCACGCGUACCCAGGGUUCGAAUCCCUGCGUCUCCGCCA